GGUUCAAACAUAAAAGGUGGCUCGGCUACCACUUACAGAUGGACCCGCGGCGCAUUAGCUAGUUGGUGAGGUAAGCGGCUCACCAAGGCAACGAUGCGUAGCCGACCUGAGAGGGUGAUCGGCCACACUGGUACUGAGACACGGCCCAUACUCCUACGGUAGGCAGCACUAGGGAAUCUUCCGUAAUGGACAAAAGUCUGACUCAAUCAACUCCGCGUGAGUGAUGAAGGUUUUCGGAUCGUAAGCUCUGUUGUUAGGGAAGAAAGUACCGUUCGAAUAGGGCGGUACCUUGACGGUACCUAACCAGAAAGCCACGGCUAACGCCAGCCGCGGUAAUACGUAGGUGGCAAGCGUUGUCCGGAAUUAUUGGGCGUAAAGGGCUCGCAGGCGCGUUUCUUAAGUCUGAUGUGAAAGCCCCCGGCUCAACCGGGGAGGGUCAUUGGAAACUGGGGAACUUGAGUGCAGAAGAGGAGAGUGGAAUUCUCCACGUGUAGCGGUGAAAUGCGUAGAGAUGUGGAGGAACACCAGUGGCGAAGGCGACUCUCUGGUCUGUAACUGACGCUGAGGAGCGAAAGCGUGGGGAGCGAACAGGAUUAGAUACCCUGGUAGUCCACGCCGUAAACGAUGAGUGCUAAGUGUUGCGGGACGGUUUCCGCCCCUUAGUGCUGCAGCUAACGCAUUAAGCUCCGCCUGGGGAGUACGGUCGCAAGACUGAAACUCAAAGGAAUUGACGGGGGCCCGCACAAGCGGUGGAGCAUGUGGUUUAAUUCGAAGCAACGCGAAGAACCUUACAGGUCUUGACAUCCUCUGACAAUCCUAGAGAUAGGACGUCCCCUUCGGGGGCAGAGUGACAGGUGGUGCAUGGUUGUCGUCAGCUCGUGUCGUGAGAUGUUGGGUUAAGUCCCGCAACGAGCGCAACCCUUGAUCUUAGUUGCCUGAAGCAUUCAGUUGGGCACUCUAAGGUGACUGCCGGUGAGAUGACGUCAAAUCAUCAUGCCCCUUAUGACCUGGGCUACACACGUGCUACAAUGGACAGAACAAAGGGCAGCGAAACCGCGAGGUUAAGCCAAUCCCACAAAUCUGUUCUCAGUUCGGAUCGCAUUCUGCAACUCGGGGACUGCGUGAAGCUGGAAUCGAGUAAUCGCGGAUCAGCAUG
rnacentral:rRNA from 1 species